GUACAACUAAACCUCCGAAUAAUCCAUGCCAAGACCACACAAGUCAAAGCGAACACACUUACAAUUGAUCCAAUAAUUUGAUCAGCGGAACA
rnacentral:rRNA from 2 species